rnacentral:rRNA from 1 species
CCUACGGGAGGCAGCAGUAGGGAAUUUUCGGCAAUGGGGGGAACCCUGACCGAGCAACGCCGCGUGAACGAAGAAGUUAUUCGUAAUGUAAAGUUCUUUUAACAGGGAAGAAAGAGAAAUUUGAUGGUACUUGAUGAAUAAGCUCUGGCUAACUACGUGCCAGCAGCCGCGGUAAUACGUAGGGAGCGAGCGUUAUCGGGAAUUAUUGGGCGUAAAGGGUGCGUAGAUGGCAUAGUAAGUAUUUUGUAAAAAUGCUGGGCUAAACCCAGUAGGGCAAAAGAUACUGGAAAGCUAGAGUAUGACAGAGGCAAGUGGAACUACAGGGGUAGCGGUGAAAUGCGUAGAUAUAAGGAAGAACACCGGUGGCGAAGGCGGCUUGCUGGGUCGAUACUGACAUUGAGGCACGAAAGCGUGGGGAGCAAACAGGAUUAGAUACCCUAGUAGUC